UACAGAGGGUGCAAGCGUUGUUCGGAAUUAUUGGGCGUAAAGGGCGCGUAGGCGGUGCGGUAAGUCUGUAGUGAAAGCCCCGGGCUCAACCUGGGAACUGCAUUUGAGACUGCUCUGCUCGGGUGCGGAAGAGGGAAGCGGAAUUUCCGGUGUAGCGGUGAAAUGCGUAGAUAUCGGAAGGAACACCAGUGGCGAAAGCGGCUUCCUGGUCCGACACCGACGUUCAGGCACGAAAGCGUGGGGAGCAAACAGG
rnacentral:rRNA from 1 species